rnacentral:rRNA from 1 species
AUGGGGGACUUUACCGGAAUUCUAUUCCCAGAUGAGAAGGAAGGAGGGCCCCCUAGACGGAUGGAGAUGAUGCAAUAGUUCCAUGAUGCGUUAGUGUAUUGUGAAUUGGAAGACAUUGGUUUCUCCGGCGAUCAGUUUACGUGGCGCAGAAGGAGAUUGAGAGAAAUGCUGGAUAGAGGUAUUUGUAAUGGGGAACUCCAUGGUGUGUUCCCAAAUGCUAAAGUGAUCAACGUUGAACACAACAAAUCGGACCUUAGACCGAUAGUUCUUGACACGGAUGGGGAGGCUGAUGAGAUGCACUAUGCAAAGGAGCGCACAAACCAUUUUGAGGCUCCAUGGUUGAAAGAACGGAAUGUCAUAGAUGUUGUUAUAGCGGCAUGGUAG